AGGCAUUAAGGUUAAUAACCUUGGUGAUUGACGUUACUCGCAGAAGAAGCACCGGCUAACUCCGUGCCAGCAGCCGCGGUAAUACGGAGGGUGCAAGCGUUAAUCGGAAUUACUGGGCGUAAAGCGCACGCAGGCGGUCUGUCAAGUCGGAUGUGAAAUCCCCGGGCUCAACCUGGGAACUGCAUUCGAAACUGGCAGGCUAGAGUCUUGUAGAGGGGGGUAGAAUUCCAGGUGUAGCGGUGAAAUGCGUAGAGAUCUGGAGGAAUACCGGUGGCGAAGGCGGCCCCCUGGACAAAGACUG
rnacentral:rRNA from 1 species